UUUCAUUUCCACGGAAGAGAAAACGAGCGAAGAGGAAAGGAAGAUAAAGAAGAAGGGAAGGAAAAGGUGAAAGGAGUGGAAGAGGAUGCUGGCUUACCUCCGGACAGGUGUUGUGGGGCUCUUGGGGACAGUGGCUUUUAUGGCGGGCGUCUCCUGCAGUCUCCCCUCCUCCCCGCCCCUUACCCUCCAGCUCCCUUCUGGCGCCCUUCCUUCCCCUCCUGCCGCCCCUGCUGACGAGGCCAAAAGUUCAGCAGACACGUCAGAGCCGCCCCCGUCCCUUCCCCACGCAGGAGUCCCCCAAGGAAGCGGAAAAUCGAAGGAAUCCAGAAGAUCUCUCCUUCCAUCCUAUCGUCAGAUGUACAGCGACCUCUCCGAUCUCCUCGUCCCUUCCUUCGACGGUCAUAUAACACAAGUGACCCAAGAGAUGGAUGGGAAUGAGGUUGUCCUGAGAUGGGAAGAAUCAUCAGCAGACAUCGCGGUGGCGGAGGCGGUGGCGGCGGUGCAGCGGAAAGCUCUCUCGCCGGUGAUGCUGCAGGAGGCGAGGGACUGCGGCUCAGUUGCCCUCAAAGCGCCCCUGGUAAGCCUGGCCUUCCCGCGCCUGCUCAAAGACGGUCGGCGCCCCAGGAGCCUGGCAAUCUUCCUGUGCCCGAUAUCCAACACAACGUCACGGGCUUUGGAGGAGGACAGAAAAACAAAAGGAGGCUCAGAACGAAACAUCACUAGCAGGAGUGGCAGAAGCAUCAGACUGCUCUCCCUUCUCCGGGACGGCGAGAGGCCAGGCUGGUAGGUAUUUACUACCCUGCCUUUACUCAACACUUCCGGGUCUCUCAAAGCGCGGGAUGCGACCAGACACGAAAACAAGGCACACGGUUUUAAUGGAAAGGUAAGUAAAUACACGACGACGGAAGACAUGCAGCUCCGGCGCGGCCGAGGGUCUUCCGAAGGGUCGUGUGAGUAGCGCUUCCCUGGAACCGUGUCCAAGGAAGGAGAGUUUGAAGGGCACUCGUGGAUUCCAUUUUCCAACAAAUGAAAACAAACCUGUUUACUCAUCUCCGCUGUGAAACAGAGCAUUUGAGUUAGAAAACAAUAGUUUGAAGGUAAAUGUUGAAACCACGUAUGUUUUUUCUUGCCAGCAGCGGGAACGAGGAUGACGCAGAGGAAGGCGGACACACCUGCCGGGGAUCGAGCAGCUACCUGGCGGAGGUGUCGUCGGGUCUGUCCCCACUCCCCCCAAGAGACCUCCAGGGCAGGAAGCUCAAGGUCUCGGCGCUGGAAAACUGGCCCUUCUUCGGCUUGCGUUCCAACGGCGAGGGGGGGCGCGUGGAGGCUGAGGCGGGCAUCGAUGUUAACAUCCUCAACACUCUCUCUCAGGUGUUG